CUUCUAUCCAGGGCAAAGAUUUAACAAGAAAAGGCAGCGAUGAGUUAAAAUUUUCUUCCAAAAUAUCUCAUGAGGAGGAAGGGGAUUAUGAGACUGUAAGUAGUUCCACUCUGGAGGCUAUCCAUGCUUUGAGAAUUCUUCCUGCCAAACCUCUACAAGAGUCUGAAUAUGCAGACACACGUUGUUUAACGUCUUUAGGUACCACUUCCCAUAUGACUAACCAGCACACAUCUUCUCAGCCUCCUCAAUACCUGACUAAACACAUGUCUGUUCUAGAGGGGAGGAACGUGCCAAAUGUUAAAGGUAUAAUAAAAUAUAACUGUUUCUGCAAUCAGAAAUAG
rnacentral:lncRNA from 1 species